rnacentral:rRNA from 1 species
CGCUUUUUGAUUAUAAUUUAAGGUAUAACCUGCCCCCUGAGGAUUUAAAUGGCCGCGGUAUUUUGACCGUGCAAAGGUAGCAUAAUAAUUAGUUUUUUAAUUGAAAGCUGGAAUGAAGGGUUGGAACGAGAAAAAUACUGUCUCUAUUUAAUUUAAUUAGAAUUUUAUUUUUAAGUUAAAAAGCUUAAAUGAUUUUAAAAGACGAGAAGACCCUAUAGAGUUUUAUAUUAUAUUUAAUAUUGAAUUUUUAAGAAUUAUUUUUUUUAAUAUUUGAUUAGAUAUUUUGUUGGGGCGAUAGAAAAAUUUAAUUAACUUUUUUUAUAUUAUACCAUUAAUUUAUGAGUAAAUGAUCCAUAUUUUAUGAUUAUAAGAUUAAAUUACCUUAGGGAUAACAGCGUAAUUUUUUUUAAGAGUUCUUAUCGAAAAAAAAGAUUGCGACCUCGAUGUUGGAUUAAAA